rfam:Cladophialophora carrionii strain KSF Contig1631, whole genome shotgun sequence.
GGGAGGAUGGCCGAGCGGUUAUGGCGUGUGACUCAAGUUUACUACUUGGACUGAUAUACCAGUCUUCUCAUGGGCUCUGUCCCGCGUGGGUUCGAAUCCCACUCCUCUCA